rnacentral:rRNA from 1 species
CCGGGGAGGGUCUUGGAAACUGGGAAACUUGACUGCAGAAAAGGAGAGUGGAAUUCCACGUGUACGGUGAAAUGCGUAAGAUGUGGAGGAACNACCAGNUGGCGAAGGCGACUCUCUGGUCUGUAACUGACGCUGAGGAGCGAAAGCGUGGGGAGCGAACAGGAUUAGAUACCCUGGUAGUCCACGCCGUAAACGAUGAGUGCUAAGUGUUAGGGGGUUUCCGCCCCUUAGUGCUGCAGCUAACGCAUUAAGCACUCCGCCUGGGGAGUACGGUCGCAAGACUGAAACUCAAAGGAAUUGACGGGGGCCCGCACAAGCGGUGGAGCAUGUGGUUUAAUUCGAAGCAACGCGAAGAACCUUACCAGGUCUUGACAUCCUCUGACAACCCUAGAGAUAGGGCUUUCCCUUCGGGGACAGAGUGACAGGUGGUGCAUGGUUGUCGUCAGCUCGUGUCGUGAGAUGUUGGGUUAAGUCCCGCAACGAGCGCAACCCUUGAUCUUAGUUGCCAGCAUUCAGUUGGGCACUCUAAGGUGACUGCCGGUGACAAACCGGAGGAAGGUGGGGAUGACGUCAAAUCAUCAUGCCCCUUAUGACCUGGGCUACACACGUGCUACAAUGGACAGAACAAAGGGCUGCGAGACCGCAAGGUUUAGCCAAUCCCACAAAUCUGUUCUCAGUUCGGAUCGCAGUCUGCAACUCGACUGCGUGAAGCUGGAAUCGCUAGUAAUCGCGGAUCAGCAUGCCGCGGUGAAUACGU